rnacentral:rRNA from 1 species
GAGUUUGAUCGUGGCUCAGAUUGAACGCUGGCGGCAUGCCUUACACAUGCAAGUCGAGCGAGGCUUCGAGCCGAGCGGCGAACGGGUGAGUAAUACUUGGGAAUCUGCCCUGAAGUGGGGGAUAACGUCCAGAAAUGGACGCUAAUACCGCAUAAUCCAUAUCGGGAAAGCGCGCUGCGCUUUAGGAUGAGCCCAAGCCUGGUUAGCUAGUUGGUGGGGUAAAAGCCCACCAAGGCGACGAUCAGUAGCUGGUCUGAGAGGAUGAUCAGCCACACUGGAACUGAGACACGGUCCAGACUCCUACGGGAGGCAGCAGUGGGGAAUCUUGCGCAAUGGGGGCAACCCUGACGCAGCCAUACCGCGUGUGCGAUGAAGGUCUUCGGAUUGUAAAGCACUUUUCGGCGGGGACGACAAUGACGGUACCCGCAUAAGAAGUCACGGCUAACUUCGUGCCAGCAGCCGCGGU